UACGUAGGGGGCUAGCGUUGUCCGGAAUCAUUGGGCGUAAAGAGCGUGUAGGCGGCCCGGUAAGUCAAAGGUGAAAUCCCUCGGCUCAACUGAGGAACUGCCUUUGAAACUGUCGGGCUUGAGGCCGGGAGGGGGUAGCGGAAUUCCCAGUGUAGCGGUGAAAUGCGUAGAGAUCGAGCGGAACACCAGUGGCGAAGGCGAGUUCCUGGACAAGUCCUGACACUGAGGCACGAAAGCCAGGGGAGCAAACAGG
rnacentral:rRNA from 1 species